UUUCUUUUUCUUUUUCUUUCUGGUUCUGUGUUCUUCUUGAUGGGAUGAAAACAACAUUUCAGAGGGAAUUGAGAUCUUUCCAAAUGAGUUGGUUGGGUUUUUAAUUUAUGUUUUUUUUUUUUUUUUUUAAGACUUUGCUUUGCCUACAAGAGAGUCACCGAAUUUUCCAAGAAUCUGUUAGACUUGGUACUUUUAAACUGUUUCAUGGAUUUUGCAGGUUAUCUGGAGCAGAUAGGGAGUGGACUCUCUCAAAGUAAUUCAAGCAAAGAAACCUCAAACUUACAAAACGCUUUGCCUCUCUCAACAAGCCAAAGAUCCCAGUUCUAUUGCUUGGUCAUGCAUCAUGACAUGCUCUGUGGUCUGCGCCAUGCAUCAUGCAUGCUUAAACAAGGAGUGGAGCAUAGAGGAUUUAUUUAUUUAUUUUUAAUGUAUUCAGACCAUUGUAAACUUAUUGUUGUAAAAAUAUAUAAUUUAUAUUAUAAAGUUGUACAAUAAUUUUUGAGAAACUGUGCUGGAAGUGCAGUGGAGAAAUGGGUCCGACCAUUUUUGGGCGUACCUCCUGAUCGUAUGGGGAAACUUUUGGAUGUUUCGUCAA